rnacentral:sRNA from 1 species
CAUUACCAGUACAUCCAGAUUCGUCUAAUAAAUUCUUGAAAACCUUUCAAACACAGCUUUGGAAUGGCGUUAAACUGGGUACAAUUAACGACCGCACUACGGUUAUGCAUUGCGUUCCAAAAGGCCCAGAACAGGGAGACGACGAAGGACUUCAGUGGUUGAUUUCCUUUUCCGUCCUUGAGCAGGUUAUUGUCCAUUCAUUCAAUUACGUCAAGUUUUGUUGUUAUGGAUUGAUGAAAAUAUUGCUUCAUGUAUUUUUUGAUCUGUGCUCUGACACGUAGGACACAAUUUCCUCGUAUCAUUUAAAAACGGUUCUCUUUCAUGUCCUGGAAGAUGUCCAUACCGAGUUCUGGUUUCCACAAAAUAUUUUCUACUGCCUACGAAUCUGCCUGAGUCGACUUUUACUGUUUGUUAUGGAAGGCCGAUGUUCAAAUUAUUUCAUACCUGAGAGUAACCUUUUCCUACAAAAGAGAUUUACUGAGAAAAAAUGCCAAACUUGUUGACAACAAGUUUUCCUUAAAAACACAAAUUUUAAAUAUUUGACUGUUUUUAAUUUCAUUAAAAGAUGAAAAUGAUGAUACAUUUUCCAUUAACGAAUUAAUUACAAUGUAUUAUGUCAUUUUUGAAAUUGAUUUCACUUUUAACUAUUUCUUAUUUUUACGAAUAUACAUGUACAAUGUAUAUCAGAAGGUAUGUUAUUUAUGUAUCUGGUAUUUAUUGAAUAAAAUAUUUUUAAAAA